UGAGGAAUAUUGGGCAAUGGGCGCAAGCCUGACCCAGCAACGCCGCGUGGAGGAAGACGGCCUUCGGGUUGUAAACUCCUUUUACGGGGAAGAGGAAGGACGGUACCCGAGAAUAAGUCACGGCUAACUACGUGCCAGCAGCCGCGGUAAUACGUAGGUGACAAGCGUUAUCCGGAAUUACUGGGCGUAAAGCGCACGCAGGCGGCGCAUUAAGUCUGACGUGAAAUCUCCUGGCUUAACUGGGAGGGGUCGUUGGAGACUGAUGUGCUUGAGGCGAUGAGAGGGGUGUAGAAUUCCCGGUGUAGUGGUGGAAUGCGUAGAUAUCGGGAGGAAUACCAGUGGCGAAAGCGACACCCUGGCAUUAGCCUGACGCUCAUGUGCGAAGGCGUGGGGAGCGAACGGGAUUAGAUACCCCGGUAGUCCACGCGGUAAACGAUGAAUACUAGGUGUGGGUGGAGUGAAAUCCAUUUGUGCCGAAGCAAACGCGCUAAGUAUUCCGCCU
rnacentral:rRNA from 1 species